rnacentral:lncRNA from 1 species
CGGCAGGUAUUUAUUUGAAAAUCAAUAUUACACAAAAAAAAAUACUUAUUGCAAAUAAUAUAGAAAAAGCUCGAAAUUGAAAUAUAAAUAUUUUCUGAUUUUUUACAUUUUAGAAAACAUAUUAAGAAAACAUUCAAAAUUUACAAGUUGACCAAGUUUUUGCCGCGAGGUUCUUUUUGACCGACCAGUGAAAUUCCGCGGUAAAUGGCGACACCGCCUCUGGUUACUGCGUUUGCCAUCCAUAGCCUCAAUCAAUGAAGCAGCAAUGCAAAUGGAGCUACGAUGAGUUCCCCUUGUUUAGAGACAUUUGGCUUCAAUCUCUUCAAGAGUGAGACCCUUUGUCUCAGGCACAAUGAAGUAUAUGAAGAAGAGAGACACUACACAUAUCACUCCGAAUCCACAGAACAACACUCCAGCUCCUAACAGCUCCUACAGAAAAAUACCAGGUGAGAAACAAUCUUAGAGUUGGUCAGCUUAGAGCUAAAUGGGGAACCUCUACUUGAGUUUCUUGGUUCUGUAAUCUUUACCUUUAGAGGUGAGAAAGCGAAUGUCACAAGCGCGUUUGUGCCGAAAUUCACAAGCACUGCUAUGCUGAUUCCUCUGCCUCUUAGUUUUAAGGGGAAUAUCUCUGAAAUCAUCAGCCAACCAAUAGGACCAAAGGAUAACUGUGCAAGAUCGUAUCAAAAAAAUUAAUUUCGAAGAGUGGAACCUUAAUUAGAAAGAAAAAAAUCUGUGAAAAAGUUUUACCUGAUAGCAGCCUACAUACAGUAGCAAUGCAACUACAGCAACAGCUGGUACAGUAUUAUAAAAGAUGUAGUAUGACCCCAGAAGGAACAGUGAGAUCAUCUGUUACACAAAGAGGCAAAACAAUUCUGAAUCAUUUAAUUUUUCUGUCUCAUGAAGCCAACCAAAAACAAAGAAAGCAAAAAAAAAAAAGACUGAAGAAGUAAGAAGACAGACCAUGCCACUAACACCACCAAGUAGUAAAGGCCUCCUUCCAAGUCUGUCAAUCACUAUAACAGCAACUCCAGUCAUAACCAACUGCAACAAUAAAGUUACCACGUUUAAGUCAUUCAAAAGGAAACAUAUUGCUGCAUAAAAACUUGUUCACAAGGAUAAGACAGUUUAAAAUUUGCUAACCACUGAUACACUUAUUAUUCCUCCAAUUUUUUCAUAGCUAAAAAGAUCUGAUAUGCCAACCUAGAUGGAAGAAGAUGAAUACCUUUAGUAAACCGAGCAGGAUUGAGAUCCGAGUUGCAUCAGUAGCAGCAGAGAAGCCAGCAGUCUAGUAGUUACAGCGGUACAAAGAAAGAAGUUAAGAUUCUCUCAAGAGCUUCCUCAUAGUGAAACAAAAGCCAACUUAAUUAGAGAUAAGAAGAAAAACCUGAAGUAUUGAUGGAGCAUAAUAAAGCACACUUGGUUGCCCAGUUAUCUACCAUUUCAAAAACAAACAUAUAUAUAUUUAGCUAUCAUUCUUUCUCCUAAAGGACAUUUGAUGAAUCUAACUGCACCAACCUGUUGCAACAAGACUAAACCUCCUGCUAUAGUGAGAGCUUUCAAGCACUUUCCCUGAAACAACUCACCAAGUGUAGCUUCUCUAUCCUCACCCACAGAGGAAAGCUCAGCCAAGAUCUCGUUCACUUGCUCAGCGGCUGAGUCAACUACCACAGACCCUCUAAGGCGGCGAAGAGACUUGAUUGCCGCCUGUUGAAGGCUCUCCACAUUCCCUUUUCCUUGGAGAGAGCGCAGUAACAGCCACCUAGGGGAUUCUGGUAGCCAACACAUUCCAAUUCCCAUAACAACCGGCAAAGGGAUGAUCGUUGCGUACAUGUAACGCCAACCAGAGGUAACCGUAACCCAAAGGCUACCUAUUCCAUAACCUCCCUUCACAAAACAGAGAGAAUCGAUUCUGUAACUUCAAACUGAGGAAUAAAAACUCUGAAAGCCACAGGGAUUUGAGAACUUACAACCAUCCCAAGGACGGUAAAGAACUCUUUCAGUGAGAUCAUCCGUCCACGUAUCUGACUAGGAGCAGUCUCAGCAAUGUACAUUGGAGCCGCGUGCAUUGUCUACAGUAUAUGGGAACAUAUUAGCUGCUAAAAAGAGUAAAUCUAAAGCUGCCAGAUCGGUCUUUACCAGUCCAACACCGAUGCCAUACAUAAGCCGUCCAAUAAUAAGGACAUAGAAGACAGGUGCCACUGCAGUCACAAUGGCUCCAACAAGAUAUAAGAACGCAGCCAAAAUCAGCUCCUUUCUUCUUCCUUGAAUAAAAUUAAUCCAAAACACUCAUUCAGAUGGAGAUGCUGCUAUGUAACGAGAUAAUGGAUUCAUAAGAAAACAAACCUAUAAUGUCAGCAACACUAAAUGCCACAAUGGAUCCAAUUAAGGCACCGUACAGUGAGCCACUAGUCUGCACAAAAAUUAUAAGAAACAUUGUAAGCAAAUUUAUUUGUCUUUCCACAAGAAGAGGAAACAAUAAAAAAAAACUAAUGCAAUAACUAACAAGGUGCAAGAAAAGUGGAAGAUAGACUCACAAUGAUACCAACAUCCACUGAAGACAAGUUGUACCAUGAGAUUCCACUUAGUUUAGGCGACUGCACAGGAAGGCAAAAGCAGCUUAGACUUAGUCAAAAUUCAAGAGAACAACGCAAUGGCACUGCUUAAGCACAGUUUAAAGGCAAUUUACCUUAAUAGAAAUGGUAGCACAAGAAGUGGCACCAAUCUCGUAACCAAAAAGCAAGGCUCCAAGAGCUGGAAAGAGAAACCUGACAAUAAAUGACUUCUUAGUAUGCUUUUUAAGACAAGUCUCUAUCAUGUGCAAAGCAACCACUUGCUUCUUUUCGAAGAAACAUAGGCAAUAAACUAUGAGUAGCAAUCAAAAUCUUUGUGGGACCAUAGUUUGUAUUAAUCACAACCAAACAAAAAAAAAGGAAAACGACAGAUAGAAAAAAAAAAAAGAUCAACCUACAACAAAAGAAAGGAAACAGGGGAUAAGUAAGUCACUCUAUGUGUUGUUAGCAUUGGAUCAACAACAAGAGUAAAAAAAAGUAAAGUCUGAUUACCUUUUCAUUACUGCCGGCACUUCCAACGACAUAACAUCCCAUAAUCUUUGCGAGUUGUCCAACGAGCUGACCAACAGCACCAGAUGCAGCUGACACGAAGACAGUCUCUCCUUUCUUAGGAGAACAGAUCUCAUAAAACCCGGAAUAGGCAGUCAUCCCAGCCAUACCUGUCAGAAACAGAGCAAUGACCACUAGUAAACUACUGAACAAUGUCAUUUAAUUUUCAACAUAUGAUUGGGAGAUUGUGUCAAUAACCCAAGGCCAGGCCACAAUAAUCAAUGUAUCAUGCUAAUAAUCAUGGAGAGAGAAGCACAUCAAGCAUUGUAAUAUCACAAAGCUUUCACUAUUAAGUUCACAUUUUUCUCUAGAAGUUACCAAGCGAAAACUGCAUGGAUGGUCAAAAUAGAAAGACAUACCAAGAAGGCCAGUGUAGUAGGACAAGGGAACAUCGGUGUGUAGGAUCUUAAAAUGUGAGUAAGGAGUUAGAGUAACAACACUGUACUCCUCCCAUCCAACAAUACCCCAAAGUAAGUCUCCCUUUGUGUAAUCAGGGUGCCCCGAUUCUAUCACUUUUGACACUCCAUACCCAUAUAUUGGCUGCAAACACAACACGGUGAACCAUUUACCAAUAGGUAACCUUGGCAAAAAAAAAAUUUACCAAUAGGUAAGAAUAAAAUUAACAUGGGGUUAAUAAAAUAAUAGUAUUUGAAUUUUAAAAUAUUUAUUCAAAUCUAUCACUGCUACAAACAGUGAACGUAUGCAUGACUGGUUACACUUAUUCACUAAUCACGAAAAGUCCACCAUAGAUUCUUCAUAAUUUGUACCUGGCCGGGUUUGAACGGUAGAGCGAGAGCAGCAGCGGAGGGAUCAGGCUUGCCCAUGCGAAUGCGCAUGUAAGGAUCGCAAGACAAGAAGAGAUUCUUUACCAGAACCUUGUUAGAUCCCGCCGGAACACUUAGAUCCACGGUGGCAUCGUUGAAGACGAGGUCUGAUUCCUUGGGGAAACCGGUGACGUAAUCUCGCAAUAUGACUUGCUUGUUGCUCGCCAUUGUUAUCUUCUGAUUUAGUUUUUGGUAUUGUGAUUUUUCUUGUUUAUGUCUGUAGGAACGUUGAGGACGCGCGUCUGCUUUUUAUAGGGGAUUUUAUGUAACGUGUGAUCAUAGCCACAAUCUCUGAAGAUAAAAAGAGAAUUAUCGUCUUAUUUCUUUUCCAGUUACUGACGUUUAUAUUAUGUUCUGUGUGAUAAUCAGUGACGUCACAGUGUGUAGUACAAUUUUUAUUUUCACACUACAUUCAUAUUGUUUUGAACUACUUUUUGUUGUUGUUAUUUUGCGAUAAUUCAGUUUCGUUUCACAUUUCAUAAUUUUUUUUGUCGGCAGGUAUUUAUUUGAAAAUCAAUAUUACACAAAAAAAAAUACUUAUUGCAAAUAAUAUAGAAAAAGCUCGAAAUUGAAAUAUAAAUAUUUUCUGAUUUUUUACAUUUUAGAAAACAUAUUAAGAAAACAUUCAAAAUUUACAAGUUGACCAAGUUUUUGCCGCGAGGUUCUUUUUGACCGACCAGUGAAAUUCCGCGGUAAAUGGCGACACCGCCUCUGGUUACUGCGUUUGCCAUCCAUAGCCUCAAUCAAUGAAGCAGCAAUGCAAAUGGAGCUACGAUGAGUUCCCCUUGUUUAGAGACAUUUGGCUUCAAUCUCUUCAAGAGUGAGACCCUUUGUCUCAGGCACAAUGAAGUAUAUGAAGAAGAGAGACACUACACAUAUCACUCCGAAUCCACAGAACAACACUCCAGCUCCUAAC